rnacentral:lncRNA from 1 species
ACUCUUUGUUCGAUAGAAUGAGAAAAAGUACACGUUGCAAAGUUAUACUGUUAUGGCGCAACUGAGUAGUCUAAUGUUGUUCCGGUUUUGAUUCUUGUGAACGUUGAAAAUUCGUUCCAAAUUUACACUCUCGGGGCAUAAUAGAACUAUAUAAUUAGGUUUUACUCUUUGUUCGAUAGAAUGAGAAAAAGUACUCGUUUCAAAGUUAUACUGUUAGGGCGCAACAGAGUAGUCUAAUGUUGUUCUGGUUUUCGUUCUUGUGAACGUUGACAUCGAUUCGUUCCAAAUUUACACUCUAGGGGCAUAAUAGAACUAUAUAAUUAGGUUUUACCCUUUGUUCAAUAGAAUGAGAAAAAGUACUCGUUGCAAAGUUAUACUGUUUGGGCGCAACUGAGUAGUCUAAUUUUGUUCCUGUUUUUGUUUUUGUGAACGUUGACAUCGAUUCGUUCCAAAUUUACACUCUCGGGGCAUAAUAGAACAAUAUAAUUAGGUUUUACUCUUUGUUCGAUAGAAUGAGAAAAAGUACUUGUUGCAAAGUUAUACUGUUAAGGCGCAACUGAGUAGUCUAAUGUUGUUCCGAUUUUGGUUCUUGUGAAUGUUGACAUUGAUUCGUUCAAAAUUUACACUCUCGAGGUAUAAUAAAAUAAUAUAAUUAGGUUUUACUCUUUAUUCGAUAGAAUGAGAAAAAGUACUCGUCGCAAAGUUAUACUGUUAGGGGGCAACUGAGUAGUCUACUGUUGUUCCGAUUUUGGUUCUUGUGAACGUUGACAUCGAUUCGUUCCAAAUUUACACUCUCGAGGUAUAAUAGACCAAUAUAAUUAGGUUUUCUCUUUGUUCGAUAGAAUGAGAAAAAGUACUCGUUGCAAAGUUAUAUUGUUAGGGCGCAACUGAGUAGUCUAAUAUUGUUCCGAUUUUGGGGACCGUCCUCUGGCAAGGACCGGUUCCGAACGUUGAAUAUCCCCUUUGCCAGUUUGUGCAGCUUUACGUGGACGGCUCAAAGGGGUCGCUCGCCCGACAAAGGUGACCACCGGUUGGUCCCUCACUGCGAAAAAUACCCAGGGAGGCUGUUUCAAGAAGUGAAAAGUGAGGGUUUUAUGUUGCAUCAAGUGGGUUAUGAGAAGAGGCUAGGCUUGUCCGCCUCUCAUCGCAUCACUUACACUUCAGUGGAUGCCCUUCUUCACGUCGUGAUGUCGUAGUCCUCCAUACUCACGACCUCUGAUGUCUACUCAUCUUCUGGCUCUCUGAAAGGUUAUAACAAAAAAGCAUCAUAUCGGAGGAAAAGAGGAGAAGUAGCAGAAGGCUAGUAGAAUGAUAGAAGGAGACGAGAUAGAGACUGAAAAAGAGCGAGAAAGAGAGGUAUUGACAACUAAGACAGGAAUGAGAAGCAUAUCACGCGAGUUACACUAUUCAUCAUCUCCUCUUGCCCAAAGCUUGGAGCUUGGUAAUGAUGUAAACCUCAACCUUUGAUGUGGUUUCAAUAGGCAGAGGUAGAAGUUUUAUAAUACGAAUAAGCGCGGUUCAAGACUGAACCUUAUUGAGCUGCAUAACUGCCAGGUCGAGAUAUGUUUCGACUCGAAAUCGAAGCUCGCAGCCGGCAGAGUAGUCGUAUCUCAUCAAUGGCCGCAUGAUGCGUGCAUUGUGCUUUUCGAUAGUCUUUCGAGAAUAGGUUGGCCAGAGCAUACUUGAACUGGGCUAUUUAAUUCAAAUUAAUUUCGGCACACCUAAAUUCUAAGGUCCCGAAGUCGUAGGCACAGACGGUGUGUCGCAUUACCGUCGAGUAGCAGUCGAAGUUAUCGCCAAGAGAGACCUUCGGAGCUUCGUGUCCAUGCCUAGAAGGCUAACGGCGUCGAGACGGUUCUAAGGCACGACACAUCGCAAUCGAAGAGCUUCCACAGAAGUCCACCCACCGAGGGGUGGAGCAUCACAGUAAAACCCACCAAAAGUCCUCACCAGGGCGAGAGUGGCGCUACACGAGCUAACCAGAAGGGUGCGGGCGAUCAACAUGGUCGGACUUCACUUUCAUGCUUUAGAUGUCUGAUGUCAUCAUCGAAAGACUUAACUAGUACGAGUUUAUUACAUAUUGUGAUAUAGUCAAUUACUUGACGGAAUUGUCUUAACCAUGGAUUAUCGCUGCAUAUCCUUGCAUGCUAAGGAUGGUAUAGCUCUGCGUUUGUUCAUCAUCGUCAAGACUGAUUUAGUAAAACAUGCAGAGGUGAGCGAUCGUUUGAGAACAGACACCCAAUGAAAAGUCGCCCUAGUCAACUAACGAUAAGAAUUAUUGUUUCAGUAGAUGAUAUAUGAACCUAGUGAUACCUUGGAACACAGUUGUAUUCAAGAACUCUGUCAAGAGAACGAGUGGCCAUCUAGUUAACCUAAACAUGAACGAGUGCAUUAAGUAGCCGGUAGGCAGCGCAAAACCUAAGAAAACUGCCUGCAGCUUGUCGAGAGACUACAUCAGUAUCAGAUAGUGAUGGAUCAGCGCCACCAAUCAAGUUGCUACUACACCGAGGCUAACCUCUCGGUGCCACGAAAUUCCGCCGAGUAUAGAUAUGCCCCCUGUUGAUCAGGGCGAUAUUACGAGAUUAUCAUGACAGAGAUUGAAUCGAGCUCACUUAGCUGCUGUCUUACACCUGUAGGACAGUAAGAAUCCUCGCACCUUCCUUACGAUGCUUUAAGUCGUUACACAACUCCCGGAGUGCUUCUUCGGCGAAGAUAUCUCGCAAGAUACUGGCGGGCCAGUGUAUGCCCUGGAGCCAGUGUAGUGUCCGCUCUCGGAAGAUAGGAUCCGGUCUCCGGGUAAGUGAUAUAGCUAGCCCACUCAUCCCCUAUGCAAGCAUCUUAGACGACGUAGAGGUACACGUAUCAGAUGUCACAAUGAAAACCCGACGGCGAGCGAAACUUGCGUUCGCCGAGAGAUACGAAACUAGAUAUUCCACAGAAUAUAGCCCGAAGAUCCUGUUCAAUCAUGUCCAUGAUGCUGACUCACACUUAGCAUUGUGUUUGAUGGAAGCAUGUAGUCCCGAAAGGCAUCACCGAGACAGCCUAGCAUUCUUACUAUGAGUUGUGCGAAGACAUUCGUAGUGGCAUCCUGAAUUAUGAGGCAUUGUAGUACCUGUGGCGAAUCUAGUUUCUAUGGACCAUCAAUUCACUCUCAGCCCGGAUCUUAAGCUGAAUGGUACCGCUUUCAGUUAAUAUAAUCUAUCUAUCUGCAUAUCUAUCUGUAGCGCGGGGCUAAGACGCUAGUGGGAGGAUCCGAUGCAAUGAGAUCUUCGGAGCAGAUACACGCCAGAACCCACUGGGAAACUAUUCGUAGUUCUCACUCGCACAGAGUACUAUCGCUGCACUGAGGCUGGCUUCCAAAGAAAGGAGACCGUGUUCAAUCUGGGCAGGGGAUACCCCUGUUUCUUACACUGUGACUUUGUUGAGGCGGCUCGAAUCGCCGGAAGGCGUAAGCGCCCUACGGGUUGACAGUGGUAAUCCAGACGAAGAGGGUUUUUCACUUAUUUAAAUAUCAAAUUUUUUCUUGACUUAGCGCCUUAUUUAGAAGACAGGGCAGCACCUCUAGUCGUCUAGGGAGAUCACACCUGGCUCUAUGACCUCCUUUAUCACCCUACCUCAGCUGGCGCCUUCCCUUUACUUCAGCUCCCAGGCAAAGCAAUAUAAGAUUAGUCAUAGCCAUCGAGGAUCGAUGGUGGUUGCCAGACACAGUGAUCUCAUACUGCGGUCAGCACGAGGUCAUCCUGUUAUCUGGUAGUCUAGAGAGUUGUAGGUACGAAUUCACAGACUACAUGGUCAUAUCCAAUGAGUGGUCGCAUUCUUAAUCUUAUGUCUAAUAUACACGGCCGGGCAUUCAACAUUAUUGCCCUAGUAAAGAGAUAUCGCAGCGAAAUAGAGGCUCUAACAUGCUCGGUUAAUAAAUAUAUUAUAAGAAGUUAGCUCGGCAAAAUAGGAUCACCCAUCCUCCGCUCGCAUCGAUAGUAAUGUUGCCUAGUGAAAAACAGUCCAUUAGGUUCGAAUUUUAUUACUACUCAGAUCAGGCUAGAAAAACCCGAUCAUCGUUGUACCAAGAAGUAAAGCGGCGGUGAGUACCAUACGAGCAUAAGUGUAUGCUCAGCUGACAGGCGAGUAAGCAUCAUCCUGCUAGAGGUCGUCUCGAUCUCGAAGUGUACACAUCGAGUGUUUUGCGAGGAAAGACCAAGCUCACAUGCAAAUGAAUGCGAAAUAAAGAGUGGCGAUGCUCUUCACGUACUCGAAAAUGAGCAAUUCUAGCAUCAGAUGAAAUGUUGAAGGUAUGGACAAUACCUCGCAAGACAGUCGCCCACACCAGUGCCCUGCGUGCUGAGUCAGGGCGAAGACCUCUCUGCGCAUCUCCAGAUGCGCUGCCGUGCCCCUCAGUUUGCGCCUCCGUCCCGCGUAAUUGUGGUUGUUAAUUGUUAUGUACCCAGUUCAACGUUGUUCCUUGGAACCUUGUUGCUCACUAAUCUAUGGUUGAGCCUUGGCGACAGAGGAGGCUGUCCGUUCGGCGUCGGUCCGCCCUUCGAGUAGGGGGACCCCGGAGCCACGAAGCAGCUGCAGCUGGGGCUCCGCGGCUUCUGCGGGCGUGCAGGCAUGGGAGGAGACAGGGACUCCCCCUGAGACAUCCGCCACCUCCUAGGACACUGGCUUGCAGGGGAGCCACCUCGCACUGGCCACGAACGGAAACAGUGUCCUCCUCUGCGACCAUUCGCCAUCAACCGCUGAGCUUUGCCGGCAGAUGCACACAACGGUGGAUCGCCCCUCUGCUGAUUGCUCGAGGGCGCACUCUUUGCUCCCUGCUAGAGUGCGCGGAUGCUUUGGCGACCGGUUACUAUUGGAAAGGAGCCGCCGCACGUCUUAGAAUGGGAACGCUUUCUGUUCCCCAUCGCCUCCGAGGCCCUUUGCAGCUCGGACUCUCGUAGACUCGCUCUGGAUGACGAGGCUAUCGUCGCAAGCACUCCGUCAAAACACGUCAUCGUGCCAUGAGAAGCCCAGCAGCAUCCUGAUGUGGGUCUCGAAGCCCUCGCGAAGACUCUCGCCUUGUGCGCUCGUCAAAGUAGGCUCGAAUAGAGAGCAAGGGAUCAGCCUCCACCAUGGCGGAAGACGAAGUCCUGCUCGUAGCUUCAGCUACGGUACGUUCCCACUGCUGAAGAUGUUCUAAAGCUCCGCGCUCCGGCCCAGCCUCCAAAUUUUUGAGUUGUCCCGAAAGAAUUGCUUGGAUUGGAGAUCUCCGGAACUCCCCCCAGGGUUGGGAAAGGACGGCCCAGCUGUGAGCGAGGUAGAUGUCGGCAGCCACCAAAUAGAGCUGCGUCCGCCGGUCCGAGAAAGUGUGCGGCCAAGGACGCGGUACCUGGCUCAUCCGAUGAGUAUAAGUCGCUCUAAAGCUAGGUACUCUCACAAUGUCGGUCAGGUUCGAUGAGCAGGUCGCGUCGAUAGAAACUCCUAGUUCUCUUCCUUCUUACGCUCCACGCGUAUUCUUGCGGGUCGAAUUCCCAUGAACUCAUCCAGCUUCGCACAUGCAUAGCGGGCGCCUCUGCUGCGGGGUAAUUUGCAUCCUCAGCUGGAACCUCUGGUGGUCGUCCGUCGUCGUCGAGCUCAGCAAGCAGAUAAAGAUGGAACGGAGCCGAGGGCCGAGCUACCUAGUGCAGGCGCACCUGAGGAGGUGGUGGACUUCCUACGGAGACUCUAAGAGCAGGCAUGACCCAUUCCAGAACCGGCGGCGUCGGGGAAGGUAGUCGCUUAUAUGGGAACACAGCUCUAGGCGGUGUGCGGCUCGUAAGGACUAGCUGGCAUGAGUGCUGCGUCGGAAACCGCCGCCAUGUGGAAAGGAGUCGUCAUCCUGAAUCCCGUCCCGUCAUCACUGGAGGCUUUAGACCUCGAGUGGUGAGGCUCGAGCUGCUUCGAUAGCAGUGAGUAUCCGCCCUGCUGGAUGUGGAAUGUUUUUUUUUACUUUUCUGGUCGAUCUGCUCACCCUACUCCUGCCCUGCCCCACCUGCCUCUGCCGUUGCUCGGAGGCCUGCUCUUUUCCUAGGAGGCUAAUUGACUAAGAGCCCUCAUGGGCGACGGCGUCCAGAAAGUUUGAUGGAACUAGCUCCCACGAACUCACGGAAGAAGGUGGGUCCGCUACUCCACGAGCCAAUCUGUAACACAAAGCACGCGUCAGCACGAAUAAUCGAGACUCGACCAACUCCGCCUACGGACUUGAGGCCCACAGAAACUUGCACUCACGUGCGCUAUGAGUAUUUCGCCCGUAGUCCUGCCUAUGGGUCAACCUAACCAAUGGUUCAUUUCAUUGAUUUUUCGAAAACCAACCUGUGAAUGGUAGUCUCCCCCUGUAUUUUGAGCACGGUCGUCGUAGCACAAGUACAGAGGAGAUCUGUCCCGUCGUGAAGUGGAUUCCCUGUAAUUGUGCGAUCUGACAUACUCUGGGGUCAGGUAUUUGAGAAAAACAAAAACAAAUUAUUAGUCAUUUCGCGUCAUUUCCAAACGCGCAACAAGGACCUCAGGGGUGACAGAUUAAAGUGGUAUCAGAGCCGGUUCAUCAGCUGGACAUGUGUGGCGAGUCUCGCUAUGAGCCACGGGUCGGAUGACGGGCUAACGAGCGACGUCUUACAUCGCGCUGGUGAUCUUGGGCUGUGUGUGUUGUGGACUCGACAGACGUCAGGACUGCAGCUUAAACGGGGAGUCCUGGUGACACCGCCAUAUCAACAUCGAUGAAAUGGAAGGUGUUGUUUAUUCAGGAGUUGAUAAGCACGACUUAGACACUAGCUAAAUAAUAACUGGCUUAGAGCAUUUGGGGUCUGUGUUGGUAUCAUGGGCCAACGAGUUACUCUUAAUUAAGCUUAGUGAAGCUUGGGCCUGGUCGUUACAUUGGUAAUCAGUCAAGUCGAAUUCUUUCAGCUCAUCGAAGCUACUGCUAGACACCGUCGAUUUGUUCAUGAAGUUAUUGUCGUUUCGAACUGCGAAUGAUGACCUGUCGUUCGGAUUCAGUAAUACCGAUUUUGCUGGGAGUCCACCGGGUUAUACCCAAAGCUCUCCGAGCUUUGCCUCAAUGUAAAGCUUGUGAAGCGGUGUGCGAUUUUGGAGAAGGCUGCAACGAAUCGCAAGAUAAUACCUGCACUGCGCCAAACCCUAGAAAAACUCCGGACUUGGUCACCGAAAGUUUUGGUUCAAGACCAGCUACACCACGCGAGGCUAUCUUCUUCGGGUCCGACCGAAUCCACGCCGGAGUAGAAUAUGCCGUCUCUCAAGAAUGACCACGUAGCGACGUCACGGAGCAGAAAUCCACUUCUUGAGCUUAGCGUUACAACUGUGCCGCCGCUGAAGUAUCUGGCAAUUAGCUCUGUCGCGAGAUGAUCCUCAGGUGCUCCCUACAAUACUCCGCGAGUAGAUCAGGAGUCAUCAUGAAACCGACGACAGACACUGAUCCAGAUAAGCUCGGAAGCCCUGUCAUUCAUGUCGCAUAGAAGGCUGCGCGGAGGAUUGGUGAGCCCGAAAGGCACACCGUGAACUCGUAGUGGCCGUAACGAGUCCGGAAAGGCGGUCUUUCGGCACAUCCUCAGCCCGGAUCUUUAAGCUGAUGUAGCCUCCCGACCGCAAGAUCAUCCUUGGAGUUAGCACCGACGAUCCUUUGACAAGGCUGGUCAUGGUACGAAGCCUGAACUUUCCAGUACGCGCUUUCUCAUCUUUAGAGUGACGGUCAGGUCCAGAGCGACGUGCAUCCAGACUUCUUGUACGACAUGCUCUGGCGCAGAUCGCGUCUGGAUUACGGUGGAUCGGAUGGUCUCGGUAUUACCGUUGGUGGAGUUUCGCGACUAUAAUAAACAGCUUUCAGGGUCGACAUCGGGAUGGCACCAUACCGAGGCGUCUGUUAUGGGCGUUCGAUGUCGUUCUCAGCUAUCUGCUUGGCACGCAUGUCGAAGACCGCCGGUUAGUUAGGACUACUAGAUUUAGUAGGAGACGCCACAUGAGGCAAGAUCCGCAUUGGGCGAGAGAGCGGCUUCAGACCUGCAACAGAUAGAAUCCAAGGGGCGACUAGCGCGGCCCAGGCGGAGGCCGGAACCUAGAGUUUCAGUCGUGAGUCAUGUGCUGCUCAAGUGUCGCCUUCCAGGAUCAAUACGGUUUGUUUGCGGAACAAGCUUAUCGCGCUGGUUUCGGUGGGACCCGUUCUGAGAUCCUACGAGCUGCGUUGGUCCGGUGGGCUUACCAGAUUGCUCUCAUACCGCAGUCUCGCCCGAGUGCAGCAACGUUUUUUCACGUGUCCCAUGCUUCGGAUACCACAUCCCGAUCCGUCCCCACAUCAUUCAGUCGACACGCAUUCAGCUAUGCGGGAGGAUCUCGAGCUAUGCAGUGAGGCUCCCGUUGCACGAUCCUGGUCACGUGAGGUGAACGCAGUUGCCGGAAUAGGAGCAUAUCCGUAUUCAAGGUCCAGUGGAGGAGAAGCGCGACGAGAGGGCUGCGCCUGAGGCUACUGGGAGCUUGAAUGCGUCAUGGCGGUCGAUCAUUAUCCACAGUUAUUUUGCGAGGGACGUCCUUGUNNNNNNNNNNNNNNNNNNNNNNNNNACUAAUUAUAUAGUUCUAUUAUGCCGCCGGCGCAAUUGUUAUAUAUUUGGAACGAUCUUAAAUUUACAAGAACCAAAUCGGAACAACAAUUAGACUACUAAGUUGCGCACCUAACAUAUUAACUUUUGCAACGAGCACUUAUUUCUCAUUCUACAAACAAAGAGUAAAACCAUUAUAUUGCUUAUUAUGCCUCGAGACAGUGUAAAUUUGGAACGAAUCAGAAACUUGUCAACGUUCACAAGACAACAAACAUGGACGAAAAUUAGCACUACUCAGUUUGCGCGCAACAGUAUAACUUUUGAACGAGUAUUUUUCUUCAUUGAUCAAUAGAACAAAGAGUUAAAACCUAAGUAUAUUAUUUUUUAUACCUCCAUUCGUGCUAAAUCGUAGAACGAGGUCAAUGUCAACGUUCACAAGACCAAAAUCGGAACACAUAGACUACUCAGUUGGCACCAACAGAUAUGAACUUAUGCACACGAAUACUUUUUUCUAAUUCUAUCAACAAAGAAGUAAACCCCAUAUUAUAUUGUAUCUUAUGCCCCAGAGUGUAAAUUUGGAACGUAACCAGAUGGCAAGGUUCACGUAAGAACAAAAAACAGGAACAAAAUUAGAUACUAGUUGCGGCCAAAAAGUCUAACUUUGCAACGAGUAUUUUUUCUCAUUUCUAUUAUCAGAAAGAGGUAAAACCUAAUUAUAUAGUUCUAAUUUGCCUGGAGUGUAAACUUGGAACGAAUCAGAUUCGUCAACGUGAUUAAGAAGAAAAACCAGAAAACACAUUACACUACUCUGGUUUGCAGCACUAACAGUAUAACUGCGACGUAGUACUUUUGUCUCUUUCUAUCGAACAAAAAGUGAAACCUAAUUAUCAUUCUAUUAUGCCCGGGCGAGUGUAAAUUGUGGAAGAUCUUCAACGUUCACAAAAGAACCAAAUCGGAACAACAUGAGCACUACUCAUUGCGACCUAACGUUAUAACUUUGCAACGAGUACUUUUCUGAUUUCUAUCAACAAAGAGAUAAAACCUUUAAUUAUAUCGAUAUCUAUAGUCUCGAGAGUGUAAAUUGGACGAUAUCAGAGUCAAGUUCAGAAAGAAUCAAAGAUUCGGCGAAGAACAUUAGAUACUCAGUUUUGGCCCUAACAGUUAUACUUAAUGCAACGAUCUUUUUCUACGUUCUAUCAAACAAAGAGUAAAAUACUAAUUAUAUUAUUUAUUAUACGCUCGAGAGUGUGAAUUUGGACGAAGGUCAUAUCAACGUUCACAAGAACCAGCCGGGAGACCGGUCCUUGUCCGAGAGACCGGUUCCCGAGAGCAAUACUUUCGGGACUUAGCCAAAUUUCGGCUUCUCUCGCUGGGCCAACGUUCGGGAACCGGUCCCUGCCUGCUAGGGACAGGUCUCAUCAGAGACCCCCGCAGCCCAGCCUGAUGGGACCGGUCCCUCCCUGCCAGGGACCGGUCCCCGAGAGCAUUUCUUCUCCAGUGCAGCUUUUGCACGGGUGCUCUCGCGGACACCUCCUCAAUGCACCUUAUGCAUUGUGAUCACCUUCGGACUUUCCGAAGCUUGCACGCACGACAACCAGUCGAUCUUUGACGAAGUCUAAUCCUCGAGUUUCGAGAAUUCACUUCCCUUACACUCUCCCCACUUAAAAGAGUUUCGUCCUCGAAACGAACUCAACAAUAUUAAAUUCAUCCAGAAUACUCAUACCUCGGUGGCUCACUCAAACAAGUGAGGAUGAUUCGCUCUCAUCUCCUCCUCGAGCUCCCAGGUGGCUUCGCGGUCAGCAUGAUUGCUCCACUCUCAGGGCAUAAUAGAAUAAUAUAAUUAGGUUUUACUCUUUGUUCGAUAGAAUGAGAAAAAGUACUCGUUGCAAAGUUAUACUGUUUGGGCGCAACAGAGUAGUCUAUUGUUGUUCCGGUUUUCGUUAUUGUGAACGUCGACAUCGAUUCGUUCCAAAUUUACACUCUCGGAGUAUAAUAGAACUAUAUAAUUUGGUUUUACUCUUUAUUCAAUAGAAUGAGAAAAAGUACUCGUUGCAAAGUUAUACUGUUUGGGCGCAACUCAGUGGUCUAAUUUUGUUCCGGUUUUUGUUCUUGUGAACGUUGACAUCGAUUCGUUCCAAAUUUAUACUCUCGGGGCAUAAUAGCACAAUAUAAUUAGGUUUUACUCUUUGUUCGAUAGAAUGAGAAAAAGUACUCGUUGCAAAGUUAUACUGUUAGGGUGCUACUGAAUAGUUGAAUGUUGUUCCAAUUUUGAUUCAUGUGAACGUUGACAUCGAUUCGUUCCAAAUUUACACUCUCGGGGCAUAAUAAAAUAAUAUAAUUAGGGUUUACUCUUUGCCCGAUAGAAUGAGAAAAAGUACUCGUUGCAAAGUUAUACUGUUAGUGUGCAACUGAGUAGUCUAAUAUUGUUCCGGUUUUUGUUCUUCAGAUCGUUGAC